rnacentral:rRNA from 1 species
GGGCCCGCACAAGCGGCGGAGCAUGCGGAUUAAUUCGAUGCAACGCGAAGAACCUUACCAAGGCUUGACAUAUAGAGGAAAAGUGCAGAAAUGCACUCCCCGCAAGGUCUCUAUACAGGUGGUGCAUGGUUGUCGUCAGCUCGUGUCGUGAGAUGUUGGGUUAAGUCCCGCAACGAGCGCAACCCUCGUCCUAUGUUGCCAGCACGUAAUGGUGGGAACUCAUGGGAUACUGCCGGGGUCAACUCGGAGGAAGGUGGGGAUGACGUCAAAUCAUCAUGCCCCUUAUGUCUUGGGCUUCACGCAUGCUACAAUGGCCGGUACAGAGGGCUGCAAUACCGCAAGGUGGAGCGAAUCUCUUAAAGCUUGUCUCAGUUCGGAUAGGAGUCUGCAACUCGACUCCUUGAAGUUGGAGUC